GCCGGAACGGUGGCCCAUGCCUGUAAUCCCAGUGGCUCAGGAGGCUGAGGCAGGAGGAUUGCGGGUUCAAAGCCAGCCUCAGCAAAAGCAAGGUGCUAAGCAACUCAGUGAGACCCUGUCUCUA
rnacentral:sRNA from 1 species